UACCAGCACCCCGAGUGGUCGGGACGUUUAUUGGGCCUAAAGCAUCCGUAGCCGGUUCUACAAGUCUUCCGUUAAAUCCACCUGCUUAACAGAUGGGCUGCGGAAGAUACUAUGGAGCUAGGAGGCGGGAGAGGCAAGCGGUACUCGAUGGGUAGGGGUAAAAUCCGUUGAUCCAUUGAAGACCACCAGUGGCGAAGGCGGCUUGCCAGAACGCGCUCGACGGUGAGGGAUGAAAGCUGGGGGAGCGAACGGG
rnacentral:rRNA from 1 species